rnacentral:lncRNA from 1 species
AAACAUGUGUUUUUCGUUUCCUCCGAGCCCACUAUAAUUUAUGAGUUUAUUUUGCUAAAUAUUUUUUCUUUCUUGUGAUGAUAUAUUGUCAAUUAAUAAAGUCAUUGACAUUGACAAGCGAUACCAGAGUUUUCCUCCUUUUCUUUUCUCUUUUUCUUGCCUUCGUUCUUCAACUCAAGGUAAAAUGAAGGUCACUGGCGCACUGUAUGUAAUAAUAAUAUUGGGGCAUUUCAAUUUUCAACAAUCUCGACAAUGUUCAG